ACAACUAUGGUGUAGUGGCUAACAUUAUCGCCUCUCAUCGAAGUAAUCUUGAAGGACGCGAUAGCCCAUGGUUCGAUUCCCUGUAACGGAA